GGAAUAUUGGGCAAUGGAGGAAACUCUGACCCAGCGACGCCGCGUGCGGGAUGAAGGCCUUCGGGUUGUAAACCGCUUUCAGCAGGGAAGAAGCGAAAGUGACGGUACCUGCAGAAGAAGCACCGGCUAACUAUGUGCCAGCAGCCGCGGUAAUACAUAGGGUGCAAGCGUUGUCCGGAAUUAUUGGGCGUAAAGAGCUCGUAGGUGGUUCGUCACGUCGGAUGUGAAACUCUGGGGCUUAACCCCAGACCUGCAUUCGAUACGGGCGAGCUUGAGUAUGGUAGGGGAGUCUGGAAUUCCUGGUGUAGCGGUGGAAUGCGCAGAUAUCAGGAGGAACACCAAUGGCGAAGGCAGGACUCUGGGCCAUUACUGACACUGAGGAGCGAAAGCGUGGGGAGCGAACAGGA
rnacentral:rRNA from 1 species